AUCAGGUUGAUAGGCCAGGUGUGGAAGCGCGGUGACGUGUGGAGCUGACUGGUACUAAUCGGUCGAGGGCUUGACCUAAACAUU
rnacentral:rRNA from 1 species